CCCCCGCAUGUGACGGCCUCUCAUUGGCCGGACGUCCGCCUCGGCGUCGUGACGUCCUCCAGCAGGUUGAGGCGCGGCUCGCGCCCUCCUCCCAUUGGACCCCGCGCUUCCGAGCACCUAGCAGAUUUCUGAACUUGGUAAUAGUGGCAGUCAUCAUCACAGUGGUAAUGGAAGCAGCAAAUCUUUACUGAGUGCUUAUUCAACCCAUGCAGUGCACUGAAUGUGCUCCAUGAAUGAUCCCACAAGGUAGAUUCCACACAGAAGUGAGAACAUGCAGCACUUUUCUUUCCCAGUCUGACUUAUUCCAUGUCAGGCUGGAGAGCUGAUGUCUGUGCAGAUGACAGGGAUUGGCAAGCUGGCCUCUGCCUACCAAGCCCAGCACUGGCACCAUGCAGAGGCCCUUCCCAUGCAGGAGCCAGGACUGCCAGAGCUGCUGCUUCUGCUUCUGCUGUUGCCACCACCAUCCCUGGUUGCACUGCUCUGUGGCCUGGGUGCACCUGCUGGAGUGCCCGUGGUGCCCAAGCUCUCUGUACCCAAGAUGUGUACGCUCUGGUUGUGUUUCCACUGCUCAUGUGCAAGUUCCAUUGUCCAAAUGGACUUCAUUUACCCAACACAAGGUCAAAAAUAUAAUUAAGACAGCAACAGCAGAGAUUAAACCAAGCCCGGGGCCCUUCUGACAGCAGGGUCCUGUGUGACUACACAGUGCACGUGGUCAAGAACUGCACAUGGCUCUACCACCUAUGAACUGUCAGGAUUUGAACUGUAAGAAAGAGAACAUGAGGUGGUGAAGACAUUGACAAAUUUCCUCUGAGACUAACUCCAGGCAAUAGGCUUUUGAUAAAGCUGUAUCAUCUAUAUCCUGAAAUGUGUGCUCCUUGCAAGCAAGAAUCUUGUCUUAUAUAAGCCCAUGUGUGCCACAGAACCUACCUCUGCACUUUGCACACAGCAGAUGUAAACAAAUUCGGUUGAAGAGAUAAACUGCUAUUCUGUUUUUGGAGGGGUAACAUGUAAAGACCUAGACACGUGAUCUUUUCCUACAAGUCAGUGAACUGAUCGAAGUCAGUGCAAAAGCUCUGGUCUGACUGUCUGAUCCAGGAGGAAGAAUAUCAUUAGCCAGCACUGUGUCUCCUGCACCCACCCUCCAGAUGGUCCUGAGUGUAAACUGCCUGAGUUUGGCAGGAGCCUUUCUGCCUUUGCCUGGACUUUAACAAGAAUCUCAUAAUUGAUUUCCAUUUUUUUCUCCUUUGUUUCCUGAGAGGAAUUAGUUCUUUUCCAGAUCCAAGAUUUGGAAACUCUUUACUCAGAGUUUCCAAAGGUGAUUUUGUAAACGUUAUCUUAGACCUCACUAUGAAAGACUCUGACUAGAGAAAUCUAACCAGCAUUGAGAAAUGCUGAAGGAAGAGGCAAAAGGUCUAUAAUUCUGCCUGCAACUUUUUAUUAAAAAUUGUCUCCUUAAA